UCUUCGAAUUUCGAGAUAAUCACUAGAUCUUGAGACGAUUUAGAGAUCAACUAGAUCUACAUUAGAUAUUGACUAGAUGUGACUUGGAUAUCUAAGUCAUAACUUGUCGAAAUCGUUCAAGAGGACCUCCAGAAUCGCGGAAACGUCAAAUUUGACAUAUCUAUCUUACAAAUAUCUUUAAAUUAUCCGUAUCGUAACUUGUUGAAGUCUAGUAGAAAUCUAAUUCAUUUUCCGAAUCGAGCCGUCAGAUGUCAUCCGAACAUCAGAGUUUUCUACGCCAUAUCGAAAUGCAAUAAUUCAAACGUAUUACCUAUUCCAUUUAUCAAUGUAUUGCUUUAUUUCACUAAUGUAAAAUCAAAUGAAUUCCGCUCGAUAUUCUCUUUUGUCACUUUGAUAAUAAAUUAUACUGAAACUCGCAGAAAUCCAACGCGUUAUAAUAA